GCAGCUGAGAAAUACAAACAGAGGCUCUUGGACCGAGACCGACACGGCGACGUUCUGGAGUCGAGUAAGAAUUGUGAGGCUGCGACGGCGGCCUGGCGAUCUCAGUGCGCUGUCGGCAUGUGAAAUGACUCAGUCCGAAGGGCGAGGGCAAUCUCAAUCCGAAAAUAAGAAGGCGAUUUCACAUCUCAGUCUCGACUCAUGUCGGAGCAGGACAUUAAAGCAACGAUUAUGGUUCCACGGAGGAUCCACUAACCAAUCAGAGCUAUAGCUUCCCAUGUACGGAUACCACAACCUCGCAAACCUGAAGUUGGCAAAGUGUGUGCAACUACAUUCGCCAAUCUACAAAUGAAAAGAAAAUCACAAAUUCUGAACCAAUCAACUUUGCUGCGAAUAUCUUCGAUGACAACUUCCACUUCCGUAGAACAAGACCACACACAUAAAGAUUUAUGUUUGCUUCAACGGCGAAAGUCGGUUUUUGUUAAAGUUGAACUCCUGACAUUCGUACUCCUGACACCUAAGUGCACUCCACAUGUCGUUGGGCCAAAAGGCCCUACAUAAAGAUUUGCAAAUCAGGAAUUUUGGGUUGUAGCAGCAGAUGUGGAGGCACACAGCUCUCUAUUUUUUCAGCAAAUAUCUUUUCUGUUCAGUGAUGACUAUAAAUUUAAAGGCUAAAGACAAAAUUCUGAUGACUAGGGUAGUUUUUGUAGCAGCAAAGUUAUAAACAAAUGUUCUCAUAAAAUGAAGCAACUUAAAAUAUCGAUUACCAUGCUUGUGAAAACAUGGCACAAUUUAAUCGCCGAACUGUAUGCCUCAGUGAUUUUGUUAUUUUGGUUCUGAAAAGGGAAAAACCAACAUACCUCAAACUGUAUGCCCAUUCCUUCUCUAAUUUGUGUUCGUCAUUAAAGAAAA